rnacentral:rRNA from 1 species
UACGUAGGGCGCAAGCGUUGUCCGGAAUUAUUGGGCGUAAAGAGCUCGUAGGCGGUCUGUCGCGUCGGCUGUGAAAUCCCGAGGCUCAACCUCGGGUCUGCAGUCGAUACGGGCAAACUGGAGUGUUGCAGGGGAGACUGGAAUUCCUGGUGUAGCGGUGAAAUGCGCAGAUAUCAGGAGGAACACCGGUGGCGAAGGCGGGUCUCUGGGCAACAACUGACGCUGAGGAGCGAAAGCGUGGGGAGCGAACAGG